UACGUAGGGUGCAAGCGUUGUCCGGAAUUAUUGGGCGUAAAGGGCUCGUAGGCGGCCAACUAAGUCAGACGUGAAAUCCCUCGGCUUAACCGGGGAACUGCGUCUGAUACUGGAUGGCUUGAGUUUGGGAGAGGGAUGCGGAAUUCCAGGUGUAGCGGUGAAAUGCGUAGAUAUCUGGAGGAACACCGGUGGCGAAGGCGGCAUCCUGAACCAACACUGACGCUGAUGAGCGAAAGCCAGGGGAGCAAACGGG
rnacentral:rRNA from 1 species